AAUCCAUAGGUUAAUGAGGCGAACCGGGGGAACUGAAACAUCUAAGUACCCCGAGGAAAAGAAAUCAACCGAGAUUCCCCCAGUAGCGGCGAGCGAACGGGGAGGAGCCCAGAGCCUGAAUCAGCAUGUGUGUUAGUGGAAGCGUCUGGAAAGGCGCGCGAUACAGGGUGACAGCCCCGUACACAAAAGCGCAUGUGCUGUGAGCUCGAUGAGUAGGGCGGGACACGUGGUAUCCUGUCUGAAUAUGGGGGGACCAUCCUCCAAGGCUAAAUACUCCUGACUGACCGAUAGUGAACCAGUACCGUGAGGGAAAGGCGAAAAGAACCCCGGCGAGGGGAGUGAAAAAGAACCUGAAACCGUGUACGUACAAGCAGUGGGAGCCCCACCACCAAAGCAUUUGCUGUACCGCGUUGACGGAGCGAAGCGACGUCAAACCGAUAAAACAGCAGUGUAAAGUGAGCCGCAGGGCGCUUUGCGCGACAGCGCAAAGGCAGGCGGUUUCGCGUAGCGAAAGCGAAUGCUUUGGGGUGGGGUGACUGCGUACCUUUUGUAU
rnacentral:rRNA from 1 species